UACAGAGGUCCCAAGCGUUGUUCGGAUUCACUGGGCGUAAAGGGUGCGUAGGUGGUGAGGUAAGUCGGAUGUGAAAUCUCCGGGCUCAACCCGGAAAUGGCAUUGGAAACUACCUUGCUGGAGGAUUUGAGGGGGGAUUGGAAUACUUGGUGUAGCAGUGAAAUGCGUAGAUAUCAAGUGGAACACCCGUGGCGAAGGCGGCUCUCUGGUACGUGACUGACGCUGAGACGCGAAAGCGUGGGGAGCAAACAGG
rnacentral:rRNA from 1 species